GAAACCAUCUCAAAGGCGCUAGAUGAAAUGAAAGUGGUUAAGGCAAUAUCAGCAGAAUGUAGAAUUAUCUUGAAAAGGCCAGACAUGGGCAACUAAUUCAGAUGGUGAGUGGCAAAUGACACAUAUAGACUGGCAUGGAUAUGAUGGAUGUCAACUAGAUAAGAGCAUGCCAACUACUUUAGUUGGGAUGAAUGAACAUUCUGUUCUUGUUUUUCUUCCACUGAAACGACAUUUUGUCCUUGUUAGUCUUGCUGACAGGUCUUGCUCACGUCCACGUUCUGCAGACAAAAGUUCAAAUAUUCUGAAAUUCUACUGCUGAAUAGUACUUCAACAGUUUUGCUA